rnacentral:snoRNA from 1 species
GCAGACACACUCUGUUCUUUGCUGCCCCCUUCCAGCCUUGGACUUUUUCUGUCUGCUACAUGAACAUGCAGAAUGUAAUACUUGACCAUCUUUCUAAAAGGCUGGUGUCACUAUGUUCUGCUACAUUAUC